rnacentral:misc_RNA from 1 species
GGGCGCGUGCAGGCGGGAACCACUCCCGGGUCUGGAUGAGGAUGUCGGAUCCGUUGGCGGGUUGGAGAGAGAGAGCCAGGCAGGACAUAGUGUGGAUCUGAAAUUGUGAGGUAGGGAUGAUCCAGAGUGGUUUUGUUCAAGCAAUUUGUGGAUUUUGUGGGGGUGUCUAGGGUUUGAUUAGGCGGAGAUCUAGAAUUCAGUGUAUCUAUUAGUUGUUGCAGGAAGUGACGAUUGAAGCUUCCUCCGUAAGAAGAAGGAAGAAAUCUCCGGAGAAGGUAACUAUGGGCUGAGACCAAAUCUCCG